UAAGUUUCGAGUGCAUCGACAGCAGACGGCGCAAGCCGCAGUAAAAUAUCGUCGCGUGCGACCGAGCGCUAUUGCGAAUACGAAAAACUGAAGCAAUGAGAAUGGUAAUACACGACAAAAAAACAGCGACUGUCGUACCCAUUUAGCUUCAUUUUGUUGCGGAAAGCUGUUAUAAUCAAGAUACAACAAUGGCUGAAAGAAAUGAAGUAAACUUGGAACGGAUACACAAUGAUUGCCUAAAUGUAUCCGGAAAUUAUGAAAAUCAAGAACUUUUUAAUAGUCGAUCUAUUGAUGUUAAGACACCCAAAGUUAUAUUUCCAUGGCUUAUUAAAUUUAAUAAAGUGAUGUGUUCAUCUGUGGGAAGUAGAAGCUCUCAGCUGUUACAGCGUUUAAUUUCCCUUUAUACACAGAACAUUUUAACUAGUAUAAAUACAUACUGUGAAAAAGCACUCCAUAUGAUACAGUUAAAGAAUCAUAUAAAUAGUACCUUAACAUUUUUUCAUAUUUACUGGCAUGACAUUAAAGAGUAUGUUGGUGAUUGUGAUAUAUAUUUAAAUGCAAUGUCAGUAUUGUUAGGAAUAUAUAUAGAUAUGGAGCUUAAAACUUUUAGGCACACUAAAGAUUCUUCCUCGGUAAUUGCAAAACUUCUUUCAACAUUGUGGAUAUAUUUAGAUAAUUCAGAGAAGCAUAUCUUUAGAGUGCUGCUUAAACUUAAACAUAUUACUAAAAAAUAUACUAAACUAUGCGACCCCAUAUUUAUGAGAAGCAUCACAAACUUAAAAAGAAGGGUAAAAUCUUUGACAGACAUAGAUUACAUCAGAUAUUUGCUUAUUUUAAAAAUAUGGAAAAGAAUGAAGGAAAACCUUAAAGAGAAAAAAGAAGUAAAUAAGAUGGCUUUAAUGAUCCUAGGUCCAUGUACGCCAAAAAUGCGCGACGAGUUAUUAAAGAUCAUACCAAAACCACCCACAGGACACGAAAAUGAAACACUUUGGUUACUACAACCAAAUGUAUUUGAUUUAAAAACAGCAUGUAAUAAUUUCUUAGCAUUUGAAGAUGCACUGUCUGUUCCACACAAAGAUUCUCAUUUAACAAGAAAUGGAGAUUUGAAAAAUUUCCAGAAAUCACAGAUUAUUUCAUCAUGUGGUAUAAAUUAUAUUCAAGAAUGUACUAUAAACUAUGAAUUAAACAAAAGCGAAAUGAACUGUGUUCAAAAUAGUAAUUCUAUCCAAAAUGAAGUAAAUUUCACUAAAUCUGCUAAUAAAAUUUUUCCUGCGAAAAAAAACAACAAAUUUAAGAAAUAUAAAAAAACAUCGAAGCUAAAACCCGGAGAAAUAAUAUUAAUCGAUUUAACCGAAGAAAAUGAGUCAUUACGAGUAGAUAAAAGCAAGAAAAAGAAGUCUAAAAGAAAAUUAGAAUGGUUAAAAAUGACGAGGAAAAAAUAUAAAGUAGAAAAGCAAGUUGAUGAAGUGAAGUGUAAAAAUCUAGUGGAAAUUGCAGAUGCCCAUAGCACAGAAAAUUCAGAAUGUUCUGUGAAUAAAAUCCUUUUAGAAUAUUUACCAAUUUCAGACAAUAAAGUUAGCGAAAGUACAGAAAGUUGUUGUAGUUUGGUAGAACAAGAGCCACUACAAGAUAAUAUUCAUUAUAUUGAUUCUCAGAAUAUACACGAUUACAUUUGCAAUAAAAGAUCUAAAGAAUUAAAAUGCACAUUUCAGCAUAAACAAUGUGAUAUCUGUACUUUAUCGUUAAAGCAAAGUGAUAUACAACACAAUAAAGUUUUAUCUUUAUUGAAACUUUUAAAUCCAGUUGGACAAAAUGUUAAAGAACCAAAAACCAUAUUAAACUUAUUUAGGGAGAGUAGAGAACAGAAUAUGUCUUCUCAAGAUACACUUUUUUCUAGAAGCGCAGCCAAUGAAUCUAGCGAAAUAAAUACUCUAAGUAAGGAUUUUGGGGAAGAAUCAUUUUCACAACCAGAAAGUUCUAUAGAAACGAUACUCUUGUCAAAAGAGUGCCAAAACAGUAUUAUAAAUACACAGUCUAUAAAGCAAGAGUUACCAACAAGUACAGAUUAUGGUGCGACAGAAGCUGAUGCUUACUGUCGAAACGAAUCUGAGAAUGUACAAAACGAUUUUCGUUUACCUGACUCUAGAUUUCUGAAUACUAGUUCGCAAAUAACGGAAUCUGUGAAGCAAAAGGUCUCGUGCGAUUGCAGUAAGAAAAUUGAAGUGAAACCCUUUUUCUGUCAUAAUUUUAGUAUAUUUAAUACGACAAAGAGUGGGGAUACAACGCAAACUACAGUACGCGAUAACACUAUGGAUAAGAAAUCAAUUUCCGAUAAAAAUAUAAUGUGCAUGCUGAGCGAUCUAGACAAAUGCAUGGACGUUUUAAAUCGUAUCGGUGAACACAUUAUGACUGUGCACGCAGAAAAACAACGACCGGAGUGUUUAAGCAACACUGACACGUGCACAGUUUCCACUACAGUUUUCGGGGAUCAGAUUGUAAAGUCAUCGUUAGGUUGGACACUGGGCGGUAACCAGGAAACGAACGGAGUGCUAAACCAGCGAAAAUGUGAUUCAGACAUUUGUAAAAAACUAACGAUUUCAUCUUCGCAACCAAAGGAAUUACAUUCCUACGAAAAGGAUCAUAGCACUUUUUCUGAAAAUAAGUUAUUCGAAAGUUUUGUUUGUAGUCACAUUAAAUCUGAAUUUGAACAGGUCAUUAAAGAGGAAAACAGCGAAAGUUUUGAAAUUAUAACAGAUCGGCCACGGAAAACAGGUGGGCAUAAAGUUGCUAUGAUAACAAAUAACCAAACACAUACAAGCGAAUCUUUACCAUAUGAUAUAAAAAGUACUGAGAAUCGGACCGAAAACUUACAUUGCGAGUCCAUGUUGCAAGAUGAUUCCUCAUUGAAAACCGAUAAAGCAAAAACACAUUUUAUAGAUGAAUUCGAAAAUAUUGAUAUUUUAGACAGCAUUCUGAAUGGAGAUAUGACUAUGGAAGACGAGCAAGAAAUUUUGGAAAAUUCACAAUCCUCGUUAAUCUCGCCGAUUAAUUAUGAUAAUUCAAAUAAUGUGUUGAAUUGUAUUACGGAAUUUUUCUCGCAAGCUGAACAUAUAUGCAAAAAUGAAAAGGGCGAAAAAAAUAUUACUUCGGACGCAGAUAAUUCUAUAACACCAUUACCCGAAGGUAGUCUUGGAACAAUGGGAAUAUUAAACUCUUUAUUAGAUUUCGAAUUAACAAAUAUGGAUUCUUCUCCAAACGAUUUUAUGUAUUCGAAUGUACAAACAGUUAAUCCGCGAUUAAUUAAAAAGAGUUUCGAGGGAGAGAUUUUUUCGGUGAAAGAUAGCAAUAUUUCGGAAUUAAAUUCUCAUACGAAGAAAACGGUUAUAGUUGGAAAAAACAAUAAAGAUGAUGUGCUUCCACAAAAAGAGAAGGAUAAUCAAAACGAUCCUAUCGACAGUAGUGUGAAUGUAGUUGGAUUUGGAUUAAAUUCUAAUAAGGAAGAAACGCUUGAAUUUCAUUUGUUAAUUAAAGAUAUAUCUUCUUUUUCCAAUCAGCCAACUAUCUUAGCCAAUUCGGAUAACAUAUCUUCCGAACUAAAAGAACCGCUUCCUAAAUCCAGUCUUUCUGGUCCUGUUGAUAAACUUAAUACCGAUACUGUAAUAGAAAAAUCUUACGUUUUUCAAAAAGAAGAUACGAUUAAUGAAGUUCGUUCUUUCGGCGAUUCGGUAAAUCGUGUUUCGUCUGAAAUGUGUAUUUCCAAUGACGUUUCAUCAAAUGUUGUAAUGAAUUGCACAAGUCAACAAGAUGAUCUUUCGUCAUCGCAUAAGCAUACUUAUAUGGAACUUAGAACAAGCCCUUUGGCGACAAAACAACCUUCAGAUUCUGACUUGUUGUCUUCCGCAGAUUUAAUGCCAUGUAACACUGUUGCAACCUCACAAUACGAAUUUAUAGAAUGCGAAAAUUCUUUGAAACAAAGAAAUAUUCAGAAAAAUAUACAACAUAAUUGUAAAGAACAGCAAAAUCAUAUUAUGAAACAUAGAAUAGAAGUUAGCGCACAAUCUAGAUCAUCUAAGCGAAAAGUGAGAUAUAAAAAGAAGAUUAAGAAGGAGGAGAAAGAAGAAGAAAUGCCAUCGCCUGUUGUUGAACCUAAUUCGGAUGAAGUGAGCCUAAGGUGUUCACAACUGACUGUUAUCAAUCCUCUGAAUCAUAAGGAUAUUCAAAGCACGUGCGAAUUGCCGCUAUCAUCAUUUCACACGUCAUAUCGUAAAAAAUCACCUCACACUUUAUGCACAUCUAGAAAUAUCUACAAGCAAUUGAAGUGUGUAGGUAUUCAGCAGUUGAGAAAUAUGUCCCCACGAAAGCAACAAAUUUUACUAAACUAUCACGGAGAUUCUACAACGAAUACAAUCUUCAAGGAAGAUCCCAAACUGGAGAACCCUCAACACAACACGGAAGAUAACGUCUGGGAAGAUUCAAGUGUAUUAUAUAGAUCUGUGGAACAGCCACAUACACCAGGUAGCAAGACUUGCUUUAAAUAUUUUAAAAGGAAUAUAAAGGUCGACAUGGAUAUUACAAAAGUGAAUUUUACCACAGAUAAACAUAUAACUGAAGUUUCAAAUAAUAUUCUCAUUAAAUCUGGUAUCAAAUGGACAUUACAAAACAUAGAUGCGCAAUCGUCGAAGUUUAUUAAAAAACAGAUGGUUCCAACACUGGAUGAAGAAACGCCCGUGAAGAAAAGGAAAUUGGCUACAAAGUUUCCGCCAACUUUAGAAGCAAAUACGGUUGUUUGUUCUAUAAAUCAGCAGGAAGCACAAAAAAAACAUUUUGUUUCCGCAAAGAAAGAAUCUUCAAAGUGGCAAAUAGUUCCUAAUAUCUACACGGAAGAUCAACAACGGAAGAUUUUAUUUCUCUAUUUUGAGCAGCUUAUAAUUAUAUUAUAGUUAAAGUCUUUUAUACGAACAAAAGUAUAAUUAUACAUAGUAGAACUAGUUUGAUAUGAGUUUACAAUUUAAGGCUGAUAUUUCUAAUUAAAAAUUGUAGUAUCGCUAGAAUUUAAAUAAGCCAAGAAGUGAUAACGUGUUGUAUACUUAUAUUUUUCAACAAGGUUAAAACUUAAAACACAAUUUAUACAAAUAUUCACAAAAUCUUGUUUGUAAAAAUUUGAUAUUGACCAGGUUUCAUAUAUACAAAUAGGAGGAAAAAUAUGGUAGGUGAGUACACGUAAAAUGUGUACAAUGUUUCUAAAAUAAGCCUUACCUGCCCAUUAAUAUAAAGGAGCAUUUAAAAUAUAUUUGCAAAUAAAUUUCUAUAAGGUUUAUAAACUUCAUAGAAUGGAGAAAUACUACUAAAGGAACAUUAUUUAAAUCAGUGCAGUCCAUGGGUUUAGUCUUUUACACUGCAAGCUCCAUAAACACCAAGUUUUCAUGAUAACGACCAGUUAUAAUAUGUGCAAAUUUUAGACUUAAAAUUAUAAGGAUUAAUUUACUAUAAUUAUUAUGAAACAUUAGUUU